AACGCAAAUUGCACUUUCUGGUAUUCCGGGAAGUAUGCCUGUUUGAGGGUCAGCAUAAUAAAAAUCGGGAGUGUUGCUUAUUUUCAUAUUUGGUAUCACUUUCGGAAUUGAGUUAUCUUUUUAACCUUUGGGUUAAAGUGACUUAAAAUUGAAAUUUCAUCCGUAUUUUAGGCGUGAUUAGAAUCAUCUAUGCGUCUUGAGUACUGGAAUUUUUAUUAGGCGUAUACCAUCGUUAAACGGUAAAAAUGCCUAUAAUUUUUUUUGAAAUUUGACCUCAAAUCAAGUAAGAAUACCCGCUGAACUUAA
rnacentral:misc_RNA from 1 species